rnacentral:lncRNA from 1 species
CCAGAAUACAACAUAAGGCAGAGUAAGGAAUAAUUCACUCUCUGAAUGACUGUUUUCAAGCUGGGACAUGGGUCUCCUGCCUUCAGACUUGGUCUCAGAUAGAACUUAACCUUCAAUUCUUCUGGUUUUUGGACUGAGAAUAGGAUUGGGGCUUAAACCAUCAGCUUUCCUGGUUCUCGGGUCUUUGGAUCCUGAUUGGAAUGAUAUCAUUGGCUUUCCAGAGUCUUUAGCUUGCUGACUGCAUAUCUUGGAACUUCUCAGCUUUCAUAAUCAAUUACAGUUGAAUAUGAGGAGCUGGAUUGCAGUGUCAUGACCUGGGCUCAGUGUAACUUCCAUCUGCCAGGCUCAAGAGAUCCUCCCGCCUCAGCGUCUCGAGUAGCUGGGACUACAGGAACGUGCCACCAGGCCUGGCUAAUUUUUUAUUUUUUUUGUGAAGACGGGGUUUCACUAUGUGGCUCAGGCUGGUCUCAAACUCCAGGAAUCAAGGGACCCACCUGCCUAGGCCUCCCAAAGUGCUGGGAUUACAGGCAUGAGCUACCGCACCAGGGCUGAGAUUGCAAGAGGACAACUCGGCUCUAAAAUCGAUGCAUUAACAUGUCAUUGGAAUUGACCUUGCCAAAAGAUGCCUCCCUAAAUCCACAAGAAUCUCCUUGUUUGAACACAGUUUCUAAUCCAGCUGUAAUGAAGACAGACAACAGUCAAAUUAACAACUGAUCAGGAGGAGAAGUUCAUACUCCUUGAGCUGGAUCUAUCUGCACAUGCACCUGGCCCAGGAAGCUGAAAUGGGAGAUCUGAUGAGCAGUGGAGGACUGAACCAAAGCCCUUGGCUUUUGCUCCAUACCAGUCAGCCGUUCUGGACAUACACAUGGGCAGAAGAUGUAGCCGCCUUGUGUGAAAAUUUGAGAGCUCUCUACUCCAUCUUCCGCUAGUAUAACCCUCAUUGGCUGGAAUCAUAAUGGUAUCUGCAUCUGGAACUGGCCACUAGUAUAACACCUACAAAAUGCACAACGGCCUUCAGACCAUAUGAAAAGUCUACAGGGUGAGAAUCUGAAAAUCCAGCAAUGAGGAGAAAAAAGUUAUCUCCCAUUAAGAACACUUUCCAGAAGCUACACAAUUCCAGUUAUUGAUUCAUCCCAUUUACUAGAACCUGUUCAUCUGGCUAUGCCCAAAACCAAGGGAAACUGAAAUAGUGGUUACCAUAUUCUGUAACUCAGCCUAGCCUAGCUUCAGAAGUUUUAAUAAAGAAAAUAAAAUGUAUUGAAAUAUUUUUAUAAUAUCUAUUCAUUUCAAAAUACAUUUUUUGUUUCAGCUCAAUCUUCCAUUUUAAUAUUCUAUCACACUCCUUCAUAUAAGUUCAGAUGUAUUUUAACUUCUUUCUGAGGGACAUUGUUUCCUAUAAUCAAAGCAGUUCAACUAUCUGCUAAGUCAGUGCUUUCCUAUUAUAAGCUAUUUUGAUUACAAUCAACCUGUGCAGAACAAUAGGAUGCUUUAGCAAUGACUAAACACCAAUGAAUACUUCCUUAGCUUUACAUAAUGAGCAAAGGAAGUAUGGCCCCAUAGUCUCAUCUCAGUUUCCUUAAGUCACUAUCAAUUCAGGUGUAAAAUACAGAAAACACUUACAUUGAAAUUUUUGAUUCCUCCAAAUGGAAGAUAAAUUAUACAGCAUUGUUGAGUUGUAAUCUCCAAAACCAAAAUUUCUGUGUUUUCCACAUAAGCAACCCAAACUGAGAGUUGCAUAACAGCCCAAGAACUAAACAUUGACACCAGCCUCAAAAACAGACCAUUGAUUAUCACAACAAAAACUUCAAAAUGCACCGGGGCCUCGUGGGCACAGGAGGUCUUUCAGGGAGUGAGCAUCAUUGUGAUAGGAUGGAAAUGCUAAGAUGUUUCUCUAUUCUAUUAAUAUAUUCUGUAUUCUAGCAAUAUAGAAUAUAAUACGUAGAAUAUAGUAUAUAUAAUUAG